CGAACGCUGGCGGCGUGCUUAACACAUGCAAGUCGAACGGAAAGGCCCUGCUUUUGUGGGGUGCUCGAGUGGCGAACGGGUGAGUAACACGUGAGUAACCUGCCCUUGACUUUGGGAUAACUUCAGGAAACUGGGGCUAAUACCGGAUAGGAGCUCCUGCUGCAUGGUGGGGGUUGGAAAGUUUCGGCGGUUGGAGAUGGACUCGCGGCUUAUCAGCUUGUUGGUGGGGUAGUGGCUUACCAAGGCUUUGACGGGUAGCCGGCCUGAGAGGGUGACCGGCCACAUUGGGACUGAGAUACGGCCCAGACUCCUACGGGAGGCAGCAGUGGGGAAUAUUGCACAAUGGGCGGAAGCCUGAUGCAGCAACGCCGCGUGCGGGAUGACGGCCUUCGGGUUGUAAACCGCUUUCGCCUGUGACGAAGCGUGAGUGACGGUAAUGGGUAAAGAAGCACCGGCUAACUACGUG
rnacentral:rRNA from 1 species